rnacentral:rRNA from 1 species
UCGCCUGGGGAGGAGCCUGCGUCCGAUUAGCUUGUUGGUGGGGUAAAGGCCUACCAAGGCUCCGAUCGGUAGCUGGUCUGAGAGGAUGAUCAGCCACACUGGGACUGAGACACGGCCCAG